CCUACGGGAGGCAGCAGUGGGGAAUUUUCCGCAAUGGGCGAAAGCCUGACGGAGCAAUACCGCGUGAGGGAGGAAGGCUCUUGGGUCGUAAACCUCUUUUGUCAGGGAAGAACACAAUGACGGUACCUGACGAAUCAGCAUCGGCUAACUCCGUGCCAGCAGCCGCGGUAAUACGGGGGAUGCAAGCGUUAUCCGGAAUUAUUGGGCGUAAAGCGUCCGCAGGUGGUUGUCCAAGUCUGCUGUUAAAGCAUGGGGCUUAACUCCAUAUAGGCAGUGGAAACUGGGCGACUAGAGUACGGUAGGGGUCGCGGGAAUUCCCAGUGUAGCGGUGAAAUGCGUAGAUGUUGGGAAGAACACCAGUGGCGAAAGCGCGCGGCUGGACCUGUACUGACACUGAGGGACGAAAGCUAGGGGAGCGAAAGGGAUUAGAUACCCCUGUAGUCCUAGCUGUAAACGAUGGAUACUAGGUGUUGCCCCGUAUCGACCCCGGGGCACGUGCGUACGCUACGUACGUUAACGUAUCCGUCCGUCGGGUAGGUACGCGACGCGACGUAGUGAACGUUAAAGGUAAAGUUAGUACGGCGUGAGACGNGCCGACGGACGACGACGAGGGAGGUAGG
rnacentral:rRNA from 1 species